CACGUAGGGCGCGAGCGUUGUCCGGAAUUAUUGGGCGUAAAGAGCUCGUAGGCGGCCUGUUGCGUCCGCUGUGAAAGCCCGGGGCUUAACCCCGGGUCUGCAGUGGAUACGGGCAGGCUUGAGUUCGGUAGGGGAGACUGGAAUUCCUGGUGUAGCGGUGAAAUGCGCAGAUAUCAGGAGGAACACCGGUGGCGAAGGCGGGUCUCUGGGCCGAUACUGACGCUGAGGAGCGAAAGCUAGGGGAGCAAACAGG
rnacentral:rRNA from 1 species